GACGAACGCUGGCGGCGUGCUUAACACAUGCAAGUCGAACGGAAAGGCCCUGCUUGCAGGGUACUCGAGUGGCGAACGGGUGAGUAACACGUGGGUGAUCUGCCCUGCACUUCGGGAUAAGCCUGGGAAACUGGGUCUAAUACCGGAUAGGAGCCUUUUUUAGUGUGAUGGUUGGAAAGUUUUUUCGGUGUAGGAUGAGCUCGCGGCCUAUCAGCUUGUUUGUGGGGUAAUGGCCUACCAAGGCGGCGACGGGUAGCCGGCCUGGGGGGGUGGACGGCCACAUUGGGACUGAGAUACGGCCCAGACUCCUACGGGAGGCAGCAGUGGGGAAUAUUGCACAAUGGGCGCAAGCCUGAUGCAGCGACGCCGCGUGGGGGAUGACGGCCUUCGGGUUGUAAACUCCUUUCGCUAGGGACGAAGCUUUUUGUGACGGUACCUAGAUAAGAAGCACCGGCUAACUACGUG
rnacentral:rRNA from 1 species